rnacentral:rRNA from 1 species
AGAGUUUGAUCCUGGCUCAGGAUGAACGCUAGCGGCAGGCUUAACACAUGCAAGUCGCGGGGCAGCGGGGAGUAGCAAUACUCUGCCGGCGACCGGCGGAAGGGUGCGUAACACGUGAGCAACUUGCCCGUAUCAGGGGGAUAACCGAUGGAAACGUCGCCUAAUACCCCAUAACAACGUAUGUUGCAUGACAUAUGUUUGAAAGCUCCGGCGGAUACGGAUAGGCUCGCGGGACAUUAGCUAGUUGGAGUGGUAACGGCACACCAAGGCGACGAUGUCUAGGGGUUCUGAGAGGAAGGUCCCCCACAUUGGAACUGAGACACGGUCCAAACUCCUACGGGAGGCAGCAGUGAGGAAUAUUGGUCAAUGGGCGAAAGCCUGAACCAGCCAUGCCGCGUGAAGGAAUAAGGCCCUAUGGGUCGUAAACUUCUUUUGUAUCGGAGCAAUAAGGGUCACGAGUGACCCGAUGAGAUUACGAUACGAAUAAGCAUCGGCUAACUCCGUGCCAGCAGCCGCGGUAAUACGGAGGAUGCAAGCGUUAUCCGGAUUUAUUGGGUUUAAAGGGUGCGUAGGCUGUUCUGCAAGUCAGCGGUGAAAGCCCGGGGCUCAACCCCGGAAAUGCCGUUGAUACUGCGGGGCUGGAAUACGGAUGCCGUGAGAGGAAUGAGUAGUGUAGCGGUGAAAUGCAUAGAUAUUACUCAGAACACCCGAUUGCGAAAGGCUUCCUCACGAAUCCCUUUAUUGACGCU